rnacentral:rRNA from 1 species
AGUGAACGCUGGCGGUAAGCCUAACACAUGCAAGUCGAACGGCAGCACUGAGGAGCUUGCUCCUUGGGUGGCGAGUGGCGGACGGGUGAGGAAUACAUCGGAAUCUACUCUGUCGUGGGGGAUAACGUAGGGAAACUUACGCUAAUACCGCAUACGACCUACGGGUGAAAGCAGGGGACCUUCGGGCCUUGCGCGAUUGAAUGAGCCGAUGUCGGAUUAGCUAGUUGGCGGGGUAAGGGCCCACCAAGGCGACGAUCCGUAGCUGGUCUGAGAGGAUGAUCAGCCACGCUGGAACUGAGACACGGUCCAGACUCCUACGGGAGGCAGCAAUGGGGAAUAUUGGACAAUGGGCGCAAGCCUGAUCCAGCCAUACCGCGUGGGUGAAGAAGGCCUUCGGGUUGUAAAGCCCUUUUGUUGGGAAAGAAAUCCAGCUGGCUAAUACCCGGUUGGGAUGACGGUACCCAAAGAAUAAGCACCGGCUAACUUCGUGCCAGCCGCCGCGGUAA